AACCUGCCUGUAAGCGGGGAAGUAACCCGUUGAAAGACGGACUAAUACCGCAUAAUACUAAAUUACUGCGAUGGUAAUUAUUUAAACAUUUAUGGCUUACAGAUGGGCAUGCGCAUGAUUAGCUAGUUGGAGAGGUAACGGCUCCCCAAGGCAACGAUCAUUAGGGGUUCGUGAGAGGAAGGUCCCCCACCACUGGUACGUGAGACACGGACCAGACUCCUACGGGAGGCAGCAGUGAGGAAUAUUGGUCAAUGGACGAGAGUCUGAACCAGCCAAGUCGCGUGCAGGAAGAAUGUCCCUAUGGAUUGUAAACUGCUUUUGCAGGGGAAUAAAGUGCAUCACGUGUGAUGUUUUGUAUGUACUCUGCGAAUAAGGAUCGGCUAACUCCGUGCCAGCAGCGGC
rnacentral:rRNA from 1 species